ensembl:lncRNA
AACAUCCGGACUCCCAAGCCUGGGGAGAGGCUCGACUUCACACACAUGCUGCAUGUUGAAGCCCAUGUCUUGAGUUCAGAGCUGUCAGGCUCCAGUCGUGGAAGGUCACAACUCUGCAGGGAUUUGUCCUACUCCUCUUUCUUCCAGCAGAUUCAGCUCAGCAAGUCCUCACUCCUUCUCCUGAUGCACUGAACCACAAUAUUAAGCUCAGUGGUCUCGGAAAUGCCUCACAAAACAGUCUGAGCUCCUCAGCUCAGGUUCAGAAUAUAAACAGUACCGACAGACACCGGCCUCCACCGGGAAGACACGUUUAUAUACAGCAAGUAACUGCAAGUUCAUUACAGCCGACCAGAUAUUCCAGCUUUGCGCAUGCGUUAAAACCCUCCAUUUUCACUCUAUUAUUAUUAUUAUUAUUAUUAUUAUU